rnacentral:rRNA from 1 species
ACAAUGAAGAGUUUGAUCCUGGCUCAGGAUGAACGCUAGCUACAGGCUUAACACAUGCAAGUCGAGGGGCAUCAGGAAGAAAGCUUGCUUUCUUUGCUGGCGACCGGCGCACGGGUGAGUAACACGUAUCCAACCUGCCCUUUACUCGGGGAUAGCCUUUCGAAAGAAAGAUUAAUACCCGAUAGCAUAAUGAUUCCGCAUGGUUUCAUUAUUAAAGGAUUCCGGUAAAGGAUGGGGAUGCGUUCCAUUAGGUUGUUGGUGAGGUAACGGCUCACCAAGCCUUCGAUGGAUAGGGGUUCUGAGAGGAAGGUCCCCCACAUUGGAACUGAGACACGGUCCAAACUCCUACGGGAGGCAGCAGUGAGGAAUAUUGGUCAAUGGGCGGUAGCCUGAACCAGCCAAGUAGCGUGAAGGAUGAAGGCUCUAUGGGUCGUAAACUUCUUUUAUAUAAGAAUAAAGUGCAGUAUGUAUACUGUUUUGUAUGUAUUAUAUGAAUAAGGAUCGGCUAACUCCGUGCCAGCAGCCGCGGUAAUACGGAGGAUCCGAGCGUUAUCCGGAUUUAUUGGGUUUAAAGGGAGCGUAGGUGGACUGGUAAGUCAGUUGUGAAAGUUUGCGGCUCAACCGUAAAAUUGCAGUUGAUACUGUCAGUCUUGAGUACAGUAGAGGUGGGCGGAAUUCGUGGUGUAGCGGUGAAAUGCUUAGAUAUCACGAAGAACUCCGAUUGCGAAGGCAGCUCACUGGACUGCAACUGACACUGAUGCUCGAAAGUGUGGGUAUCAAACAGGAUUAGAUACCCUGGUAGUCCACACAGUAAACGAUGAAUACUCGCUGUUUGCGAUAUACAGUAAGCGGCCAAGCGAAAGCAUUAAGUAUUCCACCUGGGGAGUACGCCGGCAACGGUGAAACUCAAAGGAAUUGACGGGGGCCCGCACAAGCGGAGGAACAUGUGGUUUAAUUCGAUGAUACGCGAGGAACCUUACCCGGGCUUAAAUUGCAGUGGAAUGAUGUGGAAACAUGUCAGUGAGCAAUCACCGCUGUGAAGGUGCUGCAUGGUUGUCGUCAGCUCGUGCCGUGAGGUGUCGGCUUAAGUGCCAUAACGAGCGCAACCCCUUAUCUUUAGUUACUAACAGGUCAUGCUGAGGACUCUAGAGAGACUGCCGUCGUAAGAUGUGAGGAAGGUGGGGAUGACGUCAAAUCAGCACGGCCCUUACAUCCGGGGCUACACACGUGUUACAAUGGGGGUACAGAAGGCAGCUAGCGGGUGACCGUAUGCUAAUCCCAAAAGCCUCUCUCAGUUCGGAUCGAAGUCUGCAACCCGACUUCGUGAAGCUGGAUUCGCUAGUAAUCGCGCAUCAGCCACGGCGCGGUGAAUACGUUCCCGGGCCUUGUACACACCGCCCGUCAAGCCAUGGGAGCCGGGGGUACCUGAAGUACGUAACCGCAAGGAUCGUCCUAGGGUAAAACUGGUGACUGGGGCUAAGUCGUAACAAGGUAGCCGUACCGGAAGGUGCGGCUGGAACACCUCCUUU